rnacentral:rRNA from 1 species
GGGUCCGCACAAGCGGUGGAGCAUGUGGUUUAAUUCGAUAAUACGCGAGGAACCUUACCUAGGCUAGAAUGCGAGUGAUAUCCAGAGAGAUCUGGAGUUCUUCGGACACAAAGCAAGGUGCUGCAUGGUUGUCGUCAGCUCGUGCCGUGAGGUGUUGGGUUAAGUCCCGCAACGAGCGCAACCCCUAUUUCUAGUUGCCAGCAAGUAAUGUUGGGGACUCUAGAAAGACUGCCUGCGUAAGCAGAGAGGAAGGAGGGGACGACGUCAAAUCAGCAUGGCCCUUAUGCCUAGGGCUACACACGUGCUACAAUGGCGUAUACAAAGGGUAGCGAACCAGCGAUGGUAAGCCAAUCUCUAAAAGUACGUCUCAGUUCGGAUUGAAGUCUGCAACUCGACUUCAUGAAGCUGGAAUC